GUCUUAAAGAANUUAAUUUUAAGUCAAAUCUGCCCAAGGAUUUAUAUAUUAAAUGGCUGCAAAAUUUUAAUGUACUAAGGUAGCAUACAUAAAUUGUUUUUUAAUUAAAAACUAGAAUGAAAGAUUAAAUAAAAUAUAAACUUUCUGAAUUAAAAAAUUAAAAUUUUUAUUUAAGUAAAAAAACUUAAAUAAAUUUAAAAGACGACAAGCCCCUAUACAAUUUUAUUAAUAAAUAAAUUUAAAUAAAUUUAUAAUAAUUAAAUUUAAUACCUUAAUUUACUUGGGGUAAUUAAAAAAUAAAAAUUUUUUUAAUUCAAACAAAAAUAUUUGAAUAUAAAAACUCUAUGUAAUUUUAAAAAUUAAAAAAUUAUUUACUUUAGGGAUAACAGCAUAAUUUUUUUUACAAGAUCUUAUUNAUACCNAAGAUUAU
rnacentral:rRNA from 1 species